ACCUAACUGACUAACUGUAUACAAUUUUUUGUGAAUGAUUUUUGUGAAAAUUUGUUGAAAUUGUUAGAUGUAAUAGAUUGUUUAAAUUCUCUUCGAGGAAAACGAAUGGCGGCAAUGUACUCGUGGUCUUCUAAACAGCUAUGUGACUUGCUGUAACGAUGAUGCUUUCGGAGUGGACGAUCUGUCAUGCGGCGCGGCUCAAAGGCUCCGAUGCUCAUGCUUUCGGAGUGGAUGAUCGAUGUUCCAGAUCUAUCUAAACCGAUGUCGGAGAUAUCGCGGCUGAUUCUCCGCUUGUAUGCUUUUCAAUUGUUCGAUAAAUCGUAUUUCGUGUUAUAUAUAGUUAUAUACCUAAUAGCAACUUGCUAUUUAAACUUUCUAA